UUUGCUUUAAAGCUAUACUAGUCAAUUCCACUUAAAGGGAAAUGUAAAUACAUACACAUGUAUAUUAGAAAAGUUACAAAAUAUAACAUGGAAAUAUUUUUAAAUACUAGGAAUGAUACAAUUUGUCAUAGAUGCUACACUGAAUGGAUUCAUUGUAACAGGACAUUCCAACACAAUACUGUAUACCUUUUUCAUCUAACUGACAGAAAGCUCAGAGUAACAAAAAUAAAACUCAACGCUAACAAAGUGACCUGAAACUUUUUACUCCAGACUAAGAUACUAUGCUCCAAACACAUUCCACUCAGAUUUAAAAAAAAUAAUGUUAUCGAUCCAACAUGUAUUUUCUUUCCACAAUGAAUAAGGAGCAGCAAACAAAUACAGUCUAUAGUCCCAUACUCAGGGAAUAAGAACUGCUUAUAGCAACACUUGCAAGCACAUAAAAUAGGAGGUCAAGCUUUGUUUAAUUUUUUUUGUCCCAGCUUGUUUUUGGAACACAAAACAAAAAAUAGGUAAGCAAGGGAUAAAGCAAUAUUGUCAAAUAAGUGACAAAAAGAAAAAAAAAUGUAAGAGUAAAUGCAACUGGUUCGCCUGUCAAUAUACAGUUGAAUUUCUUCCUGGGUGACACACACCAAGAAUCUCUCAUUUAGUAACACAUUAUAAUCUUACAACAUCUGUCUUGUACACACGUAACCUACAAUGUCCCCCCUUCUGCCCAUUCAGCCCUUGAUCUUCCCUAUUACCAAAUGCCUGAACUCAAGUUGAGUCCCUGACAUAGAUCAGAAACUCAGAUGAAACGGGAUAUACAAAUGCACAGAGGCUCCUACCUUUCAGAUCUUCCCCAAACCAAGAAGAAAUGGCAGGGACAUGGAUGCUGGAGGUGAGGCUUGUGUGUACUCUUCUUACAUCACAACCAGUCAUAAGCUCACAUACUAAUUUACAGAUCCACAAUCUACUAGAUGUAUGUAAAGAUACAUGGCCCAAAUCCCAGCCAAGAAAGAUCCACUGAACCAAUCAGAUACAUGUUAAGUGUUGACUUAACACUCAAUAAUUCAAUGGGUCGGCUCUAAUUUAUUUUACUACAAAUGACUAGCUGUAAAAAUCUGUACUCUUCAAUUUCCAUUAUGAAACAAUACUAAGGUAUUCUAACUUCCUGGAUUUCACAUUUUAUGAUUUCUUGUUCUUUAUUUAUUUUUGUCAAUGCUUCUUUGCUGGUCUCCCUCUAGUUCAUAGCAGCUUGUGAUGAAUUAACAGCUCUUUUAAUUUGAAUUUAAAGAGGAGUUAACAGACAGAGCACAAUCCUCAGCUCUGAAACUUGCCUGACUACGCCAUUAAUACUUGGAGUCUGUUUUAUGUUGUGAAGUAUUGUACUCUCAACAGUAAUUAAUGAAUUGCAAGGGGGAGUCAUUCUUGAUCAGAUGUGGUUUUGGGAGGUCUUUGAUAUCAAUAUUUUGGAAGGUAAAGGUGAAAUUCAGAAAGAACAUAAAUGAUUAUACUUCAUCUUAAGGAGACUUCAUCACAACAAUCUCUCCACAUGAGGAAGUUGGCAGGCAAGCUGAGGAAGGUGGACAUACAGCAGCAAAUGAAAAGUCAUGAAUAUAGGGAAUGACUUGAUUGCCAAGAAGGCUUCCAGCUUGCUGGUAGUGUUAUACAAGGGCAGGUGUCUUGGUUAUUUUGAGAUUAAUGAGUAGGAGAGAGCUAGUUUCCCUUGAAGACAUCUGUUGAACCACGUAUCCCUAGGAAACUCCCCCCCCCAUCAUCCAUUGUCUAUGACCAUUCCUAACUGAAAAUGAUCACUUCCUGUUUAGUCUGUUUCCAUACAACUUCCUCCAUCUAGAGCCCUGCUGACAGAAGGACACUCAGAACAAUACUAGUUUGCUACAUGGCAGGAGGGGAAAUACAUUUUCAGACAACACUAAGGAAAACAGAUUUUUUUUCCCUGCCAAAAGCAUCAUAUUAAGUGAAACAAAGCAGAAAGGGUUCAUAGCAAGCCUGAAAAUACAUGGAAGAACUCUAAAUUAGAAGGAACAAACCUGAACCCCAGAACAUCUUUAUUCAGCACUGUAUGAGGAACAGGGCUCUAAUGCCAAUGAAGAGAAGUAUACCCUGCUGGCAAGGGGACAGCUGCUGCAAGUAUGAAAUCACCGCUGUUUUGCAAAGCAGUCACGACAUUGUUCAAAGAGACAAAAGUCUUUGCAUGAAAGAAAUGAACUUACUUCUGUUCAGUAGCUUUUUGUUAUGCAAUGGAAAAGGCCCUUUACAAAAGCCCAGGUUAAGAAAACAUCUGAGUGAGAACUAAAUUUGAGAAUAGAUGACAAUUAAAACUUGUGAAAAAUAGUUUUCUCCACAGAUCUAUUUAGAAGAUUAAAAUCUGCAGUUUCCUUGACUCAUAUGCAUCUUUUAGAUGGAACACUGUUUGUCACUCAGAAUAAUGAGGCUCUCAAAUAGUUAAUUUCAAUACAAAGUUCACACUGCAUACCAGAUAACUGUCUUUCAAAAUUCAUUUUG